rnacentral:tRNA from 1 species
GGAAGAUUAAGUCAUAAUGGUAUUGCGGCGGUUUGCUAAACCGUUCGUCGUGGAAACACGGCGUGCAGGUUCGAGUCCUGCAUCUUCCGCCA